UACGUAGGUGGCGAGCGUUAUCCGGAUUUACUGGGCGUAAAGGGUGUGCAGGCGGGUCAUUAAGUGGGGUAUGAAAUCGCCCGGCUCAACCGGGCGAGGUUAUGCCAGACUGGUGGUCUAGAGAGCGAGAGAGGGACGUGGAAUUCCGGGUGUAGUGGUGAAAUGCGUAGAGAUCCGGAGGAACCCCAGAGGCGAAGGCGGCGUCCUGGCUCGCAUCUGACGCUCAGGCACGACAGCAUGGGGAGCGAACGGG
rnacentral:rRNA from 1 species